rnacentral:lncRNA from 10 species
AGCAGCUGUCCCGGGCCCAGGGCAGAUGCAGAGAGGCAGAGCCGAAGGACCCAGCCCUGCCCUGGGGUGGUGCCAUGGGAGAGGCAGUGAAACAAAGCACGGAGAGCCCACUCAAGUUCUCACUUCUAGAGAAGAGGCAGCCUCGCCUGUGUUCCCAGCUUCAGCCAGAUAUGCAUGCGCUUGCAGAGGCUGGCACGCUCUGAGAGCCAAAGCCAGAGACGGGAAGUGGGAAUCACUCCAAGGCUGGAGGGACACACAGACCCAUGAGGAUGGCCAGAGGAGGACGGAGAUCAUACAGGGAGGUCCUGUUCUAAGAGGUCAUGGGUAGGAACCUUCCGCGAAUGCGGGAGGAAAACCCUCUCCUGGGCCAUCUAGGGCAGCCAGACACAUCACACACAGAGGAAUUCUACACUUCCCACAGGUCAAAGGCAGGCCAUCUACAGGGCAGCAUCCUGGAACUGACUGCAGGUGCUCACCAGCAACAGGGUGCUCACCCACAACAGGAUGCAGAGACAACGCAGCCUUCACACCGGAGGAACCAACAGGGCGAGCCCCAAAUUCUACACUGCUGGUAACACAGAGACACAUUCGUGCAACAAAUCAAGGCUCAGCAAACAAAUGGUGAAGGCUCAUCAUAAAUAUCAAAAGGCAUUGGUGAUAAAUAAGAACAAAAAAUAACAACAUCUGACAAAAUAAUUGAUGAGAGAAUCGUGGGUGCUGUGGGGACGGGUGAGUGUGGACAGAAGUUAAAUCACGCUAAUUUCCGUCUCAUCCAGGAGGAGGAUAGAUACACUGAAUGCUUUUGGAUUUAUUUUAAAAGAUAUGCUUAAAAUGUAAGGGUAAUAAAUAUGUCUUGUGUGUUCAUACACAAAUGUACACACAUAGAAUGCACCAAACUGACAGAGGGAAAUAAACUGAAAAUAACAAGGGUUAGCAAUUAUAUAGUUCUCUGCAGUUUUAUAUGACACUUAACAGACAUUAAUUUAUUUACUCUUCACCCAAAUGCUAUGGUAAGAAGUUAUUAUUAUAUCUGUCAAAAUUGGAGUCAUAUCAACUUAGGAAAAAUUUUAAAGUCUAUUGUCAAACAAUUAGAGAAGGCACAGCUCACAAUCCGAGAAACUUUAAACCAAGUGUAAAAAGCAUGUCUUAUGGCAGUCACAGCACAGUUAAUAAAGCAUAAAAAGGAACUAAUCCAACUUUUUCAUGAUUAACUAGCA